UACGACUACAUAUCAGGCAUAUCAAUAAGCGGAGGAAAAGAAACUAACAAGGAUUCCCUUAGUAACGGCGAGUGAAGCGGGAAGAGCUCAAAUUUGAAAUCUUCAAGGUUUUACCUUGACGAAUUGUAGUUUAUAGAAGUGUUUUCUGUUAGUGGUUUGGUAAAAGUUCUUUGGAAUAGGACAUCAUAGAGGGUGAGAAUCCCGUAUUUGGAUCCAUUACUUCCUAGCGUUGUGAUACACUUUCAAAGAGUCGGAUUGUUUGGGAAUGCAGUCCAAAAUGGGUGGUAAAUUUCAUCUAAAGCUAAAUAUUGGCGAGAGACCGAUAGCGAACAAGUACCGUGAGGGAAAGAUGAAAAGAACUUUGAAAAGAGAGUUAAACAGUACGUGAAAUUGUCAAAAGGGAAGCGUUUGACACCAGUGUUGUUUUUCCGAAAAUCAAUUAAACUGAUGGAUUUUGUGUUUGAGUUAUGACUUCAUCAGCUUUCUGCACUUUCUUUACUAACUUUCUUAAUGCACUUUUCGUUAACAAGUCAACAUCAAUUCCUUUUGUUGUAAAAGGGUAUGAGGAAGGUGGCUUUCUUUUCGGAGAAAGUGUUUAUAGCCUUGUACCUCUGCAAUCGGAGAGAUUGAGGUCUGCAGCGUAGAUCCUUCGGGGUUAGAUACGAUUUGUGCUAAGUUAUAGCUUGUCAUAGACAACUUGUUGACUAUGUUUAGUCUUGUAGCUUACUCGCUUAUGCUAUUUUACCUACGCUUAGGAUGUUGAACGCGCACAGAGUCUC
rnacentral:rRNA from 1 species